rnacentral:tRNA from 1 species
GGAGCUAUGGCUCCGUGGUAGAACAUCUACUUUGCAUGCAGAAGGUCCCAGGUUCAGUCCUUGGCAACUCCA